rnacentral:rRNA from 1 species
AACGAACGCUGGCGGCAUGCCUAACACAUGCAAGUCGAACGAAGUCUUCGGACUUAGUGGCGCACGGGUGCGUAACGCGUGGGAAUCUGCCCUUGGGUGCGGAAUAACUUCUCGAAAGGGAUGCUAAUACCGCAUAAUGUCGUAAGACCAAAGAUUUAUCGCCCAAGGAUGAGCCCGCGUAAGAUUAGCUAGUUGGUGGGGUAAAAGCCUACCAAAGCGACGAUCUUUAGCUGGUCUGAGAGGAUGAUCAGCCACACUGGGACUGAGACACGGCCCAGACUCCUACGGGAGGCAGCAGUGGGGAAUAUUGGACAAUGGGCGAAAGCCUGAUCCAGCAAUGCCGCGUGAGUGAUGAAGGCCCUAGGGUUGUAAAGCUCUUUACCAGGGAUGAUAAUGACAGUACCUGGAGAAUAAGCUCCGGCUAACUCCGUGCCAGCAGCCGCGGUAAU